UAUUUAUUUAUUUAUUUAUUUAUUUAUUUAUUUUGGUUUUUCGAGACAGGGUUUCUCUGUAUAGCCCUGGCUGUCCUAGAACUAACUGUAGACCAGGCUGUCCUUGAACUCAGAAAUCCGCCUGCCUCUGCCUCCCGAGUGCUGGGAUUAAAGGCGUGUGCCACCACGCCGGGCUGAUUUAUUUAUUUUUGUUUUAUGUGUAUGGGUGUUUUGCUUGAAUGUCUGUAUGUACAUAUGUAUGUAUGUAUGUAUAUAUAACACGAAUGUAUGUAUGUGCCUGGUCCCUCAGGAGCCAGAAGAGGACAUUGAAUACCCUGGAACUGAAAUUACACAUAAUUGUGAGCCACAAUUAUGAUGUUGAAAAAGGAAGCCAGGUAUUCUGUGAGAGCAGCCACUAUUCUUACCUGCUGAGCCACCUCUCCAACCCUUUAAGAAUUAAAAGCAUUGGAUUACAUGUGACAGGUUUCCUUAUGGCAUUUUCAUACAUGCUUAGUUUUGGCCGACUCCCCAUCCUUCCCAAGCUCCCUGCUCUCUCCUGCGCUACCCUCCCCAGUCUUCAGCCUGCCUUCCAGUGCGUUCUGUUCACCCUCCACAAGAGGCAGCUGUUGUUACUACUUCCACUUGACAGCGAGGAAAUUGAGACCAGGGAACAGUUGCCAUAAUUUCUGAGUAGGCUAGAGUCAGAACAAGUGUGACUGUAGAGCCUCCGCGCAUGACAGCUGCCCUGUGUCUUAGACUGACUGACUCAUCUCCUAGCAUCGUCCUCCAGAAGCACUGUAAAGGACUUCCAGUCUAUAGUGGUCGUUUACAGAGAUACUAGCAUUUUGGAUUAUUUUAAUGUUGUAUAAAUGCUGAGACUAUAUAAAAAGGAAGAUAGCCAGAUUCUGUUACCGUCCUAUCUCUCCUGUUUCUAGUGUUAAGUACUAGUCCUCCCACUUCUGGCCUGGACUUUCAGUAACUUCCUAGGUGGGCUAGUUGCUUUAUUCAUUACCCCCUAGAUAUUCUUCACAUAAUGAUGAAGUGAUUAUCUUAAAAUAAGUUAUAGUGUGCCACUCCUGCGUGCAAUAAUGUCUUUUCAGGAACAACAGCCUGAGCUUUCUCAUGACCUACUGUCCAUCCCUACAGAGUCUCCCUCCCUCUGUCCUCUUUGCUGUGAUGUAUGGCCACUGCUCCUGAUACUCCUUCCUUUCCCGCCACACACGUGCAUUUAUCAACACUCUGACUUGCCCGAUCUUUAUUUAGCUUGUUGUACUUCUCAGAGAGAGGCAGGGCUGUUGCUUGGUUAUUUGUUUGCUGGUCAUCCUGCAAAGAUGGUCAGUUCAACAACAACAACAACAGCAGCAGCAGCAACAGCAACAACAGCAACAAACCUGUGUAUGAACUCAGAUUAAAGGAUGAUUUGUGAGAUUAUACAGAGUGCAUUUUUUGUCAUUAUUUGAAUCUGUUCCAUCUUUGGCCAGUGGGAGCCUUUUCAGCUUUCAUGCCUCUUGGUAUUUUAAGAUUCUUAUACCUUUCUUCUGGAAUUAGUUUUAGUUUCAUUUAAGGAGAAAUAGUUUUUUCAAGGUUCACUCAGAGCAUUGGAGACACUGCUAAGGCAUCUAUUGAAAUGAGCUAGGGUAAAGAAAGAGAAAAUGACUUGAGUUCAUACUAAUAUUUAUCUCUAAUUCAAAUUCAAGCCUAUUUAUUAUUAUUUAACAUGUCUCUGUUAUAUAUGUAAUACUUGGAAUUUACCUAGAUAUAAAGAAUUUUGUUAUUUGUUGGACAAAGGAUAUUACAAAAUCAGAAUAUUCUGACAUUGUUAAUUAAUUUUGUUCUGUUCUUUGCUCGCCUAUAUUUAACCUUUCUCAUCUUUAAACCAGGGUGUGUGUGUGCUGCCAGAGUUUCAUGGCCACAGUGCCAUGCUUCUCUGGUUAGUCUUCACACUCGGAUUUUGCUUGCUCUGUACUGGAUGCAGGUCACUAGUUAUAUCUGGGCCCUGUAAUUCUGGGUUUUUGAAGCUGUGGUGAGUACUGCUUUAGCCUUAACAGAGCGUGACGCAAGGCACAAAGAAAUUAAUGACUUAGCCAAGGAAUUGGAGACCCUGAGUAUCCAGAGCCCAGAUUUAAACCAUGGUUAUUUCAUCUGUUAGUUGGUGCAUAAGCAGUAAAUUGCUUUGAACUCUGAAAUAGAAAUGUUGUCCUUACAGUCUCUUCAAUAUGAGAAAUGAUGCUAGAGUCAAGACAGUGUAUCUUAUUGUUUAAUUAGAAAAGUUUUAACAUUUAGAAUAACAUGUCAGUCUUUGCUUCUGAUUUUGAGAGUCAAAUGAUCUGGGGAAUUAUAUAUUCAAGUGAGGUCAGCUUCAGAACGGUAGCAUGCCUGGGGGUUAGCACCAUCUACUGGUAAAGACAGACAAGAGCUUGCUUCUGUCUGUAUACAGCUGUUGUCUGAAAACUCCAUAUACUUUCAUUUGUGUUGUCUUUUUAAAAAGCCAUUUAUUUAUGCGGGCAGUACAUAAUUUAUAAUUUUUCUAUCUAAUGAUUUUAUGUCUCAUAAUGUUUUCCUUAAACUUCCAGGCAUUCUUUAAGGAGAUUACAUUUAAAUGAGGGAAAUAUAAGAGUCACAGUUUUAUAAUCUUUUUCAAGAUAUAUCCAUGAAAUUUCUUUGGUGUCCUAACCAGAGGCCAGGGCUAUUGCAGUAGACUAACAUGGGUGUGGUUUGUGUUCUGUUUGGCCCAGUUUUGGCCUAAGGAUACUGCCUUAGGUAGACAGGGAGAGUUGAUGGUAAGAGAGGGAGUGUUCUCAGUGAUGAGCCCAGCAAAGCGCCUUCUGCUUAACCCCUGGUUUUAACCUAAAUUCAGCUCCCAUCUUAAAACCUGUUUACACUGGUUUAUGUUGGUUGUAUCCUAUUUUACACUAAUUUCUACCCUUUGUCAUUUUUCUCUUUUUAUUAAUCUGACCCACAGAACUUAAAAGUAUCUGAGAAAUCCAUUAUUAUCUUCUCAUUCCAUUUCUUUUUCCUUUCCUGUAUGUAUACAUAUGUAUAUGUAUCUAUGUGUAUGUUUUAGGUACUUACAAGGUAAAGGUUUUUUGGAUAUUACAAACUUAAGGUGAAAUUACAAUCUUUACAGAAGAGAUGUGCUGUUUAAUUAAUGACAUUUCCCAGUAAUUCAUCAGCGGAACAUUAUAUAGCUAACUUAUAUUGUAGAACAAGAGUGAUUUUGUCUGCAGUCAUUUGUCUUUCACGCUCAUUCAUAAGUCUGUUGGACAUGACAGAGUUGUUCCUUUUGCUCCAUGGCAACUCAGGUGGGCACAGAGGUUUCACUAAUAUGUAAGGUUUUAUGUGUACUUUAGAAAUAUCUGAUGCAGGGCAAUGGUGGCAUGUGCUUUUAAUCCCAGCACCCAGGAGGUAGAGGCAGGUAGAUCUCUGUAAAUUUGAGGCUAGCCUGGUCUAUAGAGCUGAUUCAGGAUAGCCAGGACUACAAAAGAAACCUGUCUUGAAAAAACCAAAAGGAGAGGGCUGGUGAGAUAGCUCAGUGGGUAAGAACACUGACUGCUCUUAUGAAGGUCAUGAGUUCAAAUCCCAGCAACCAUAUGGUGGCCCACAACCACCCAUAAUGAGAUCUGACGCCCUCUUCUGGUGUGUCAGAAGACAACUACAAUGUACUUAUGUAUAAUAAUAAAUAAAUCUUUGGGCCUGAGUGAGCAGAGUUGACCUGAGUGAGCGGGGGUUGACUGGAGCAAGUGGGGUUGACCGGAGCAAACAGAGGCCCUAAAAAUUCAAUUCCCAACAACCACAUGAAGGCUCACAACCAUCUGUACAGCUACAGUGUACUCACAUGCAUAAAAUAAACAAGUAAAUC
rnacentral:lncRNA from 1 species